AGAGUUUGAUCCUGGCUCAGGAUGAACGCUGGCGGCGUGCUUAACACAUGCAAGUCGAGCGAAGCACUUAAGUUUGAUUCUUCGGAUGAAGACUUUUGUGACUGAGCGGCGGACGGGUGAGUAACGCGUGGGUAACCUGCCUCAUACAGGGGGAUAACAGUUAGAAAUGGCUGCUAAUACCGCAUAAGACCACAGUACUGCAUGGUACAGUGGUAAAAACUCCGGUGGUAUGAGAUGGACCCGCGUCUGAUUAGGUAGUUGGUGAGGUAACGGCCCACCAAGCCGACGAUCAGUAGCCGACCUGAGAGGGUGACCGGCCACAUUGGGACUGAGACACGGCCCAAACUCCUACGGGAGGCAGCAGUGGGGAAUAUUGCACAAUGGGGGAAACCCUGAUGCAGCGACGCCGCGUGAGCGAAGAAGUAUUUCGGUAUGUAAAGCUCUAUCAGCAGGGAAGAAAAUGACGGUACCUGACUAAGAAGCCCCGGCUAACUACGUGCCAGCAGCCGCGGUAAUACGUAGGGGGCAAGCGUUAUCCGGAUUUACUGGGUGUAAAGGGAGUGUAGACGGCUUUGCAAGUCUGAUGUGAAAGGCGGGGGCUCAACCCCUGGACUGCAUUGGAAACUGUGAGGCUUGAGUGCCGGAGAGGUAAGCGGAAUUCCUAGUGUAGCGGUGAAAUGCGUAGAUAUUAGGAGGAACACCAGUGGCGAAGGCGGCUUACUGGACGGUAACUGACGUUGAGGCUCGAAAGCGUGGGGAGCAAACAGGAUUAGAUACCCUGGUAGUCCACGCGGUAAACGAUGAAUAAAAGGUGUUGGGUGUCACAGACAUUCGGUGCCGCAGCAAACGCAAUAAGUAUCCCACCUGGGGAGUAGCUUCACA
rnacentral:rRNA from 1 species